CACAGACCUUUUAUUUCUUCCCACAACUGUUUAAAACUUUUGGGGGGCUGCAACAACGGGCCGUACUCCAGCUAUGUUUCCAUAGUGAGGAUAGGUCCUCACACUCUUUGCUGUCCAAACCUCUUCUGACUAGAGGAGAAAUAGCUCACACAAUCUGGGGACUCGAGGAGCUAACCAGAGGAUUGGAAAGUGCCUGGAGAGAAGCAGGGCAUCUUCCACAACCGCUGCAUCAGUAAGGCCUCCGGCAUCGUGCAUGACCUCAUUACCUCACAUGGACUCUUUCCUCUCCUUCCGUCCGGCAGAUGCUACCGCAGUCUCACGGCACGAUCCCCCAGACUACAAAACAGCUUUUUCCUACGAGCCAUCGGACUCCUGACUCACUACCAGUCUUCCCCCUAUGCACACCCAUGUAAACUGUUAACCGACUCUUUUACACUUGACACACCACUGCCCCUGUAAGACGUGCGGCUCUAUGGACAAUCUUUCUAUGGUCAGUUUUACUCCAGGUUUACAAGCUGCUACACUGGUCCCUUUAGAUCAAUCCAGACUGUAAAUCUUAAAUUGUAAACUCUAAUCGUAACGUCUCUUGAUCCUCUGAGACUUAAGCGAAGGUUGUUUUUCACUCCUUUUUACAUCUCUUAGCUUUAUUUUUUACACUGACGUAAAUGGAGCCCUGUUGUCUCGUCUCUCUGUAUACCGCACUGGAUGUAGCAGAGAUGACAAUAAACUUUACCUUUACUUGACUAAUAUGGCGUCCCCAGAGUCUUAGACCAGCUCCCGAGUAAUUUAGACCUGAUUUUUAUGCUUAUAUGUUACAAAGCCACCAACAUUUUUGAACAACUAGACAUAAUUAUUUGAUUUUUAACAACAUUUUGAUGGAUAUUUGCAGAGAUUACCGGUGAAAAUUACAUGUUGUCUCUUUAAGGCUUCUGAAGAUAAACUAAUACUGUACAUAAACAGUGGAAAACUUUGGAGGGGUCAACUGAGAACAGUCUAGUCACUUAACUGAAAUGUAUUCAUCACUUGUAUAGGUUAAAUAGCUAAACAAUAACAAACCGAUUAAUCGAAAAAAUUAUCAACAGAUUAAUCGAUUAUGAAAAUAAUCGUUAGUUGCAGCCCUAGUCUAGUGUGCCCUGCAAGGUGUCUUUUCAGCCGAGGAGAGGAAAAUAUGCUUCCAAACAUAAUGAGUACUUGUGUUGAAUAAUCAUGACUAUUGGCUUCAGCCUUAGAAGAACCUGUGUCAGUAGACCUCUCCUGCAUGCUCUAAACGAGGGAGCAUUUUGAGCUCGGGAAACAAUUUGGAAAGCUAUUUUUACUCUUGGCAAUUAAUAAACUUUUAGGAACGUCCAUCCAUUUGUCAAACCCAAUUCAUCUUGUUCAGAAUAGUGGGGGCUUUGAUGUCACAGUCAGAGACAGGGUACACAACGGACAGGUCGACGUUCCAUCACAUGGUCACAUUCAGCUGUGUGUAUGUCCUAAUUUAUUAGAAAUAUCGAGCUGGGUAAUACUGCAGCAUCAGGGUAGAUGUAUAAGCUGAUUUAUAUGUCCUAGAUGGCAAUUAUUUUCUCACUUUUGACUGAGAUGAGAUGCUGAAACACUGUCUCAGCAUUUUAGCACAACACUCUAUUUGGAAGCAUGAGCCCAGAGUGGGAACAUCAUCUAUAAUUUAUGCCUACUUAUGAGAAGUCGAUCUGUCAGGGUUAGUUGUGUGUCAGUGCAUUUAUCUUGGUUUAUUCAGGCUGGUUUAGGAGUUUGAGAGUGAACGUGGGCAAUCAAACAACAUUUUUAAUAAUCGAUUACACUUUGUUACCAAAAUCCCCACACUAACCUUUGAAUAUUUACCCAAACUAAAGUUUUUUGGCCAGUUUUAAACAAGAGAAACUAUCCUUUUGAUAAUUUAGUAGAAGUUACACAUUGAAAAGAAGAGUGGCAACUGUUGAUAUGAGACAUUUAGGCAAACUAAAACUUGAUGAUUGCCUUCAUUAUUGUUCACGGACGGGAGGAUUGUACAAAGGAUAGUUUUGUUUUCAACAAGAGGACUUGUUCCCUCUUGCAAAACAGGAAAAAGAGUAACAACAGUCAUUUCGACUCAUUCCUGCCAGGAGCCAGGAUUAAAGUCUCUUCCACAAUUAUUUAGUUAUUGUGCAAGCAGAGACACAUCAGCCUUGACACUACCUUACUUUUAUUCCUCCAGGCAAAGAGGGAUAGAUGAUGUGAAGGAAGACCAAUAAACAUUUUGUGUUGGCUCCUACUUGUGCUCAUGUGUUGACAAAUUAGCAUUUUUGCUAGAAAAUGCUCACAUAAUGUUUACACGUCCAUGCGUUAUAGUGACAAGAUACAGUUAGGUAAAAUGAGAAAAAAAUAAAAAGUCCUUUAAUGUAUAAAAAGUAGGGAAAAAGCUAUUGAUUAUCAAUAGUGUUGCUAACAUGUCCAGAGGGCCUGGAGAACAUAAAGAGUCUCAGUGAAGUUGUUCUGUGCGUGCUGAGAUAAACAAGCCCACACUGUGAGAGAUGUGAACACAGUUAAAUAUUAAUCUAAUCAUCUAUUUUUAAUUCCGAUGAUAAAAAAACAAAAACACCAUGUAAAGUUUUUGUUCCAUCUCUGUGGUGUGAAUUUUGUGUGACCCUAAUUUUCUUUGUUAUCCUUAUCAUCAAACGCAUUCAUGUUUAUCCAUCCAAACCACAACCUCUCUCUCUCUCACCUACGUGCACACACACACACACACACACACACACACACACACACACACACACUCCAGCAUAAGCAGAAUCUCAUGAUGCAGUACUACCACUCCACCCAUACACUCAAAGAUACACACGUGUCCGCAAACAACAACAAAAACUUUGCUUGCCGACAACCAUCUAAACCAGUCUCACACACUUUUGUGCGUUCCCACACACAGAGUCAGUGCUCCGUCGCCCACGCUUUGGUCGCUCUGGCCAGGAGAUUCUGUCAUAACUCAAAGGCUGACCUUUCAUAAGCCACUGCUUCAGACAGAUGAAUAGCCCCAUAACACCGUGUCUAUGUGGCAUAUAUGUGUGGUGUGUAAGUGUGUGUGUGUGUGUGUGUGUGUGUGUGUGUGUGUGUGUGUGUGUGUGUGUGUGUGUGUGUGUGUGUGUGUGUGUGUGUGUGUGUGUGUGUGUGUGUGUGUGGGUGGGUG